rnacentral:misc_RNA from 1 species
GAUGAAGAACGCAGCGAAAUGCGAUAACUAAUGUGAAUUGCAGAAUUCAGUGAAUCAUCGAGUCUUUGAACGCACAUUGCGCCCCCUGGUAUUCCGGGGGGCAUGCCUGUCCGAGCGUCAUUGCUGCCCUCAAGCACGGCUUGUGUGUUGGGCCUCCGUCCUCCUCCCGGGGGACGGGCCCGAAAGGCAGCGGCGGCACCGCGUCCGGUCCUCGAGCGUAUGGGGCUUCGUCACCCGCUCUUGUAGGCCCGGCCGGCGCUUGCCGACACAUCAAUCUUUUUUCCAGGUUGACCUCGGAUCAGGUAGGGAUACCCGCUGAACUUAAGCAUAUCAUAAGCGGAGGA